UACGUAGGGGGCAAGCGUUGUCCGGAAUCAUUGGGCGUAAAGCGCGUGUAGGCGGUUCGGUAAGUCUGCUGUGAAAGUCCAGGGCUCAACCCUGGGAUGCCGGUGGAUACUGUCGGACUAGAGUACGGAAGAGGCGAGUGGAAUUCCCGGUGUAGAGGUGAAAUUCGUAGAUAUCGGGAGGAACACCGGUGGCGAAGGCGGCGAUCUGGGUCGAGUACGUGACGCUGAGGUGCGAAAGCGUGGGGAGCAACAGG
rnacentral:rRNA from 1 species